AGGACGAACGCUGGCGGCGCGCUUAACACAUGCAAGUCGAGCGAGAACCGGUCCUUCGGGACCGGGGAAAGCGGCGAACGGGUGAGUAACACGUGGGUAAUCAACCCUUGGUACCGGGAUAGCCCGAGGAAACUCGGAUUAAUACCGGAUGGCCCAACAGCUCUUCGGGGCGGUUGGAAAAGGUAGCUUCGGCCUCCGACCAAGGACGGGCCCGCGGCGGAUUAGCUUGUUGGUGGGGUAAUGGCCUACCAAGGCGACGAUCCGUAGCUGGUCUGAGAGGACGAUCAGCCACACUGGGACUGAGACACGGCCCAGACUCCUACGGGAGGCAGCAGUGGGAAUCUUGCGCAAUGGGCGAAAGCCUGACGCAGCGACGCCGCGUGGGGGAAGAAGGCUUUCGGGUUGUAAACCCCUUUCAGGUGGGACGAAGCCACUCGGGUUAAUAGCCCAGAGGGUGACGGUACCGCCAGAAGAAGCCCCGGCUAACUACGUGCCAGCAGCCGC
rnacentral:rRNA from 1 species